UACGUAGGGCGCGAGCGUUAAUCGGAAUUACUGGGCGUAAAGCGUGCGCAGGCGGGUUUGUAAGCCAGAUGUGAAAUCCCCGGGCUCAACCUGGGAAUGGCAUUUGGGACUGCAAGGCUCGAGUGCGGCAGAGGAGACUGGAAUUCCUGGUGUAGCAGUGAAAUGCGUAGAUAUCAGGAGGAAUACCGAUGGCGAAGGCAGGUCUCUGGUCUGACACUGACGCUCAUGCACGAAAGCGUGGGGAGCAAACAGG
rnacentral:rRNA from 1 species